UGCCAGCAGCCGCGGUAAUACGGAGGGUGCGAGCGUUAAUCGGAAUUACUGGGCGUAAAGCGCACGCAGGCGGUUUGUUAAGCUAGAUGUGAAAGCCCCGGGCUCAACCUGGGAUGGUCAUUUAGAACUGGCAGACUAGAGUGUGGUAGAGGAGAGUGGAAUUUCAGGUGUAGCGGUGAAAUGCGUAGAUAUCUGAAGGAACAUCAGUGGCGAAGGCGACCUCCUGGACUGAUAUUGACGCUGAGGUGCGAAAGCGUGGGGAGCAAACAGGAUUAGAUA
rnacentral:rRNA from 1 species